UGAACAUGUAUUUUCUUUAUUAAAUUGGAUUCUACACUGGGCUGCCUUUGGUCUUCAGCAACAAUCUUUAUGUCAUGGGACAUGGGAAACUCAGGAGGAUUCUUUUCAAAAGAAGGGUUCUAAGUCGCUCUGUAUCAGUUUGGCCUCUGGAUGGGGAGCAGAUUGAGUAGUUGAGAUCAACCAUGCAGGUGUUCUAUGCCUAUGAAUUGACUUUCAAUGAAAAGCCUGAACACCAAGACUUAGUAAGCUUCCCCGCAUUGCAAAGAGUUGUCUCCAGUCUUGUGAAGGAGAUGUAUAACCAAUCACGAAGAAUGUCUACUGCUCUGAACAACCAGUGAUGGUCCCUAAGCUCCCCACAGUGCUGAGAAAGCUCUAGCCUGACACAACUCAAGCAAGCACCAACCAGUUAAGGAGAUGUAUUAUCACCGAUAUUACAGUUGAGACCUCAAGGGUACACAUGCUAAACAUAGACCAAAACUGAUGGCACAUCAUAUUGAGAUUAAUAUAUGGGUACAAACAAUUAGUCCACAUUGUUUGUAUUUGUUAGGCAAAGUCCAAGUUGUAGCUGAGCCCUUCACCCAGGAAGUGUUCCAUAUACUCCUAUAUCGUACCCAUUAGAGCUGUUUAAAAGAGACUCCUCGACAAAGCAGAGGUAGACCAGUAGGCAACAGCGAACACAACAGCCAGUUUCCCGUUGCACCAUUCUUUUUUUUUGAGUGUCUUUAAGGGUGACUAAGGAGGUCAAAUGGCUCACUUUUCCUUGUGGACUAAAGCCAGUUUCAUUGUCGUGUUGGCAUUUUAUCUUUGUUGUGAUACUGUUAUGUCUGAUACAGAUGAAGUCACAGAAGAGCCACUGUGUGCGAAAUAUUUAGCUCGACCAUUAGGUUGUAACAGGAGAUAUACCCCAGUCUGUGGAACUGAUGGCAAAACUUAUGGCAAUUUAUGCAUGCUAUGCAGGGAACUACAAAAUACUAAUGGUGAAGUUACUCUUAGCCACUACGGACCAUGUGAGGAGUAGUGAUGUGUCCCUCUUCAUCAGAUGACUCCUGUUUUAAUUGUCUUCUGCCAUUGGAUUUUACAGAAUGUUCGUCUUUAGUGCCUUAAAGUCUAUAUUAGCAGGUGAUUCUUUACUGGAAACUUUGACAGAUUAAACAUUUUGAUAUAUUUCUGUACUGUCAAAAUAUUAUAAUUUCAAAAGUUUAAUUCUCUCUCAAUUUCCAAAUAUAUGUUGAAAAUCUGAAAAAUUGUAAAUUUAAAUAUGUGUUUAAAUCAUGAAAUAUAAGAUAUUUCUCAAUAAUUAAAUACUUUG